rnacentral:lncRNA from 1 species
GUGCUUUAGAAAUAACCCUCUUAUCAAUUCUGAAGGAGUGACCACAGAAAUCACUUUCUCUCUAACCCAGGCGAAUUAAAUUAAAAUUCUUGCGUUUAAUGCUUAACGAAAGUUCAUAAUUAGUGUGACUGUAGUUCUGACACAUUAUUACUAUGAAGGCAGGAAUCAAGGUAUUGUUUUCCUUAUAUAUUCCGGUGCUAUAUAGUUCUGAAGUCUGCAUCAAGAUAUUGCUAUCCUCAUAUAUUCCGGUGCUUUAAGAUCUGAAUUCUGCAUCCGAACACAUUAUUACUAUGAAGGAUAAACGAAAGUUCAUAAGUAGUGCAGGAAUCAAGGUAUUGCUUUCCUAUAUAU